UUGUAGUUUUCGUUGGUUGCAGUUUCAAAUUGUUUUUUGUAGGGGCAUUUUAUGUCAUCGUUGGAUUUGUUGAUGUUUAUCUUAGCGACUUUCUGGAAUUUUCCACCGCCUCUCCGAUCAAAUGUCCUUUCUAUUCUCUCUUCCCAUUCCACUGUUCUUUCCGACCAGAUAUCUAUUUUGUGUCCACCACCUCUCAAGCCAUCCGGUCCAUCUCCAUCUUUUCCGUACUAUGUCGAACUUAACUUCCUCCAUUUUGCGUCGUCUAAAACUUUCCCUAAUUAUUUGCUCUGUCCCUUGGGUUAUUUACUUCCACCAGAGUCAGUUACUGCUUGAUCUCAAACCUUUCUCUAAUUUCAGUUCACCGCUCCACAAAACACGAAUUGAAAUUCUUCCAUCGUCGAUCCAUACUCAUAGUCUCCUCCUCCUUUAGCCACCCAACCCAGGCACCGUUUUCAGCCAUAAAUCAGUUGAAGGAAUACCCUCAAAUUUCCCGUUUGGAGGUGAACGGUGACCAUGAACGCACCAUUGCCGGCCCCCUUCGCUUCUCAGGUGCCCCGAAAUUCUCCAUUGUUGCUUCUUCAGACUUCCUUCACCAGGUUCAUACUGUAUAAUCUUCGUUUCUUUGUUAUUUUUCUGUUACGUUUGUUUAGGUUUAGGUUUCGUAUGUCUGAUUUUCGAAGUUGGGUUAUCUGAUGUUGUAAUUGGGUUUUGUUGUGGUUGUGGUUCUUAUCUACUCCACUCGUUUCCUCGCAAUACCACCGUCUGACGUUGUUGCGGCUGUGGACUUUCUUCAUAUGAAUCAUACGUCUCGCCGUUUUUUGGUUUCGAUUUGGUUUUGAAUUUUGGUUUGCUUUACAGCUAUGGGUUUUGAUUGGGCCUUUUGGAAUUCCGUUUCAAGGAAAUUGACAGAUAAAUCAUUGUUGAAAGUUCAAUUGAUCUGAAAAUAGAUCGACUGAUGCUGCAAUUGGACAUCUUUCAAACUAUUGUUGAGGAAUUCAAAUAAUGAAGCUAUUUAAGAAUGUAUUUUUAAUUUUAAUUGUGUAAAUAUAUGAAAUAAACCUUAUGUGAUGUUCUUUUUGCAAGAUUAAAGAAGACCCUUUAAUCCUUUUUCACCUCUGUUGCAUAUCGCUUACACCACCAAAGCUAUGUAUGUUCAUUUUUUAUGUGGUGGCGUCUCCGAUGCCGGUGAUAGCACCGUCUGGGAAUCCUGGAUUUUUUUUCUUGAUGGAUUCUUAUUGAAGACUCCAUUUCCCGUUUCUUUAUCUUCUCCAUAUGUUGACUAUCUACUUUUUUCAGGUAUCAUGUUUAUUGUGGGAAUAAUGAGCUUGGUCGACGACUAAAGGUGCUCAUUUUGACUUUUCAACUUCAAAAUUGUUUGACUUAUUUAUCAAUUUUACUACAAUUUUUUAAAAAAAAACCAAGAACAAACAUAUUCCAAAACCCAGGAGCCACGGUAGGAGUAUCCCAAAGGAAAGAAGUGGUAAUUUCCAAUCCUCUUCUGUGAUAAAAAUUAAAGGUAAUUUCUGAAAUUAAGUCCAAGUCUUGAAUAAAAAAAAUAUAUGACAUUAAUGAAUGGAUUUUGGUUAAAAAAAGAAUGCUUGGAAAAUGUUUAUAACCUAUAAAGAAUUAAGUGAAAGGGUAAAUUAGUUCAUUUUGACAACUUUGAAUUUCUAUCAAAGUCAAACAUAGAAUGCAAAAUGAAAAUUACUUUGAAUGCUCUUAAUGUAUGUUGGAAUUGAGUUCCGGUUCAUAAAGUACUAUUGGUAAUAAAUUAGAAACAUAAAAUAAUCAAACAAUCUGAGCUUUUGAGCUUAGCGAUAAGUUGAUUAAAGGGUACAAAUUUGGCUUUUGUAAAAGCCAUGCAAAAACGAUGGAGAAGUGUAGAUGGCGUAAAACAAGGGCGGUGGAGGAGGAAAGCAAUGAAUGAACAAGAAGUACAAAAGAAAGCAUUAGUGAUCCAGAAGCGUAACUGUUCACGAAUAUGUUCAGCCUUUUUAACCUAUAGAUAUGAGAUUAUUUUUUAGAAGCUGUAACUGUUCAUAAACAUAUUCAUUUUUAUUCUAUAUAUUAAUGUCCUGUUACACCAUCAUAUUUUGAACUUUUUCUUCUUUUGACACUUUAAGAUUUUUAGCAAUCGCUUUGGUCCAACUUCCCUUUUCCAACUUUGGUAACAGGUUUUGUUCUUUUUAAUAUUUUUUUAACCUAUACAAUUAAGAUUUCAAGCUUGCUGACUAGGUGUUUCUCAUUUUACCUAUAACCAAUCCAAAAGAAAAAAGAAUCUUAUGCAUGAAUAAAGUAGAUUUGGUGGAGAAAGAAAAGAGUUAUUCAAGGUUGCUGACCAGUUUAGAGAUCUUCCUAGAUAUGAACUGUGUUUCAUGAUUUUUGGACUUAAGGGUUCUGGCGGAAAAGAUCUCAUAUAAUAUUUGAUGAAACAGGGAAGCUUUCAAUAAUUUUCAUGUUUAAUGCUAUUUUUCGUAUAGUUUUGCUGCUGAUAAUUUUGUGUAUUUGUCGGUGUAUGCAAUUUUUUAUGUUAGCCAGUUAAAACACCAUGGGAUGAAGAUCUUCUCAUCAUCAUGGCCCAAAAUGUCAUCAAGAACAUAUCAAUUGAAGUGGUUAAAGAAAAGUUUACACACCGUAUACAUCGGGUAUUAUAAUUAUAUAAUAUAUUCUUAUCAUGAUAAUAUUUUUCUUAUUGGAACCUUUUAAGAAUAAUCAAAUUACCACUUAUAGUCCUCCAAUAGUUUUGCUGCUGAUAAUUUUGUGUAUUUGUCGGUGUAUGCAAUUUUUUAUGUUAGCCAGUUAAAACACCAUGGGAUGAAGAUCUUCUCAUCAUCAUGGCCCAAAAUGUCAUCAAGAACAUAUCAAUUGAAGUGGUUAAAGAAAAGUUUACACACCGUAUACAUCGGCUAGUUAAAACACCAUGGGUGAAGAUCUUCUCAUCAUCAUGGCCCAAAAUGUCAUCAAGAACAUAUCAAUUGAAGUGGUUAGAGAAAAGUUUACACACUGUAUACAUCGGAUGCAUAACAAUCACAAGAAGAGUGAGGUCCCAAGAUUCUUAUGAAGUAUGGGCGUUUUGUUGGUUACACUUGCCUCCAUCUACUAUCUUUAAUUUCCACAUACUCUUUUGGAGGAACUGGAGGCUUUUCUGGUGUUCCUUGGCUUGUUUUCAAGUGAUAUUUUCAUUUGAUUAUAAAUUAUCGUGGAUUUUAUUAUUGUUGUUGAUUUUUUGGUCAUAAAUAAGGUGUAUUUUGCAGAUAGGGUGGUCAAAAAGUAGACAAGUACUUUGCUACACUUUGAAAAAAUGUGAUUUCUAUCUAUCACUGAUUUUCAUUGGUC